rnacentral:rRNA from 1 species
AGUGAACGCUGGCGGUAGGCCUAACACAUGCAAGUCGAACGGCAGCACAGUAAGAGCUUGUUCUUACGGGUGGCGAGUGGCGGACGGGUGAGGAAUACAUCGGAAUCUACUUUUUCGUGGGGGAUAACGUAGGGAAACUUACGCUAAUACCGCAUACGACCUACGUGUGAAAGCAGGGGAUCUUCGGACCUUGCGCGAUUGAAUGAGCCGAUGUCGGAUUAGCUAGUUGGCGGGGUAAAGGCCCACCAAGGCGACGAUCCGUAGCUGGUCUGAGAGGAUGAUCAGCCACACUGGAACUGAGACACGGUCCAGACUCCUACGGGAGGCAGCAGUGGGGAAUAUUGGACAAUGGGCGCAAGCCUGAUCCAGCCAUACCGCGUGGGUGAAGAAGGCCUUCGGGUUGUAAAGCCCUUUUGUUGGGAAAGAAAAGCAGCAGGUUAAUACCCCGCUGUUCUGACGGUACCCAAAGAAUAAGCACCGGCUAACUUCGUG